rnacentral:rRNA from 1 species
AACGAACGCUGGCGGCAUGCCUAACACAUGCAAGUCGAACGAGACCUUCUGGUAUCUUGGCUCACGGGUGCUUAAUGCGUGGGAACCUGCUCUUAGGUUCUGAAUAACUCCCCGAAAGGGGUGCUACUACCGGAUAAUGUCUUUGGUCCAAAGAUUUAUCGCCUUUGGAUGGGGCCGCGUUGUAUUAGCUAGUUGGUAUGGUAAAAGCCUACCAAGGCGACGAUCCAUAGCUGGUCUGAGAGGAUGAUCAGCAACACUGGGACUGGGACACGGCCCAGACUCCUACGGAAGGCAGAAGUGGGGAAUAAGGGACAAUGGGUGAAAGCCGGAUGCAGCAAUGCCGCGUGAGUGAUGAAGGCGUGAGGGUUGUAAAGCUCUUUUACACGGGAAGAUAAUGACAGUACCGGGAGAAUAAGCUCCGGCUAACUCCGUG